AUACCAUGAUGAGGACAAUGUAUCCUUUCAUACGCUCCCAUGCAUCGUACAAACUGUCCUCUUCGCCUUGCUCGAAUCUAGCUAUAUCGUUUCUUAUCUU
rfam:Arabis alpina cultivar Pajares chromosome 6, whole genome shotgun sequence.